GAUGAACGCUGGCGGCGUGCCUAAUACAUGCAAGUCGAGCGAACAGACGAGGAGCUUGCUCCUCUUACGUUAGCGGCGGACGUGUGAGUAACACGUGUAUAACCUACCUAUAAGACUGGUAUAAUUUCGGGAAACCGGAGCUAAUACCGUAUAAUAUAUUGAACCGCAUGGUUCAAUGGUGAAAUACGGUUUUGCUGUCACUUAUAGAUGGAUCCGCGCCGCAUUAGCUAGUUGGUAAGGUAACCGCUUACCAAGGCAACGAUGCGUAGACGACCUGAGAGAGUGAUAGGCCACACUAGAACUGAGACAAGGACAAGAAUACUAAGGGAGGCCGCAGUAGGGUAUCUUACGCAAUGGGCGAAAACCUGACGGAGUAACGAGGCGUCAGAGAUGAAGAUAUUCGGAUCGUAAAAAUCUGUUAUUAGGGAAGAACAAAUGUGUAAGUAAAUAUGCACGUCUUGACGGUAACUAAUAAGAAAGCCACGGCUAACUACGUG
rnacentral:rRNA from 1 species